AGUGCGUAAUAGCUCACUGGUCCAGGGGUUCUGCGCCGAAAAUGAAGCGGGGCUAAAGCCUGCCACCGAAGCUUUGGCUACUCGAAGUUCGAGUAGGGUAGGGGAGCAUUGUAUCAGCGGAGAAGCUUAAUCGAGAGGAUAAGUGGAGCGGAUACAAGAGAGAAUGCCAGUAUGAGUACACGAAAAGGCAGGUGAGAAUCCUGCCCGCCGGAAGCCUAAGGAUUCCUGGGGAAGGCUCGUCCGCCCAGGGUAAGUCGGGACCUAAGCCGAGGCCGAGAGGCGUAGGUGAUGGGAAACCGGUUGAAAUUCCGGUACCGUUUUUGAGCCGUUAUUAAGUGAAGCAGGGACACAGGAAGGCAGGUUGAGCGCACGGCUGGAAGAGUGCGUCCAAGCACGCAGGGAGUGGGGCAGGCAAAACCGUUCCACGCACAAGCCCGAGGUGCAUGCAAGAUUACCUCCAGCACAGCCAGGCGGGGCGGGGUGAUCUUGUAGCCUGCGCUGCGCAGGCGUUCGACCAGCGCAUCGGGGAGAGCCAUUUUACAGAUCCACUUCCUGC
rnacentral:rRNA from 1 species